UACUCGAGUGGCGAACGGGUGAGUAACACGUUGGUGAUCUGCCCUGCACUUCGGGAUAAGCUUUGGAAACUGGGUCUAAUACCGGAUAGGACCGCACUUUAGUGUGUGUGGUGGAAAGUUUUUUCGGUGUAGGAUGAGCUCGCGGCCUAUCAGCUUGUUGGUGGGGUAAUGGCCUACCAAGGCGGCGACGGGUAGCCGGCCUGAGAGGGUGUACGGCCACAUUGGGACUGAGAUACGGCCCAG
rnacentral:rRNA from 1 species